GAUCAUGGCUCAGGAUGAACGCUAGCGACAGGCUUAACACAUGCAAGUCGAGGGGCAGCAUGAGGUAGCAAUACUUUGAUGGCGACCGGCGCACGGGUGAGUAACGCGUAUGCAACCUGCCCGAUACCGGGGUAUAGCCCAUGGAAACGCGGAUUAACACCCCAUAGUACUUUUAUCCUGCAUGGGAUGUGAGUUAAAUGUUCAAGGUAUCGGAUGGGCAUGCGUCCUA
rnacentral:rRNA from 1 species